AUGCUCACUUCGGCAGCACAUAUACUACAAUUGAACAAUACAGAGAUUAGCAUGACCCCCUGUGCAAGGAUGACACGCAAAUUCAUGAAGUGUUCCAUAUUUUA
ensembl:snRNA U6 U6 spliceosomal RNA